rnacentral:rRNA from 1 species
UUGCUUGCUUCUUAGUGGCGAACGGGUGAGUAAUACAUAAAUAAUCUACCAUAAUGACUGGGAUAACCAAUGGAAACGUUGGCUAAUACCGGAUAGGUAAAACGAGGGCAUCUUUGUUUUAUUAAAGUAGGGCAACUACACAAUAUGAUGAGUUUAUGGCGCAUUAGCUAGUUGGUGAGGUAACGGCUCACCAAGGCGAUGAUGCGUAGCCGACCUGAGAGGGUGACCGGCCACACUGGGACUGAGACACGGCCCAGACUCCUACGGGAGGCAGCAGUAGGGAAUUUUCGGCAAUGGGCGCAAGCCUGACCGAGCAACGCCGCGUGAGUGAAGAAGGCCUUCGGGUUGUAAAGCUCUGUUGUAAGGGAAGAACACUUUUUAGAGGAAAUGCUAGGAAGCUGACGGUACCUUACCAGAAAGCCACGGCUAACUACGUGCCAGCAGCCGCGGUAAUACGUAGGUGGCGAGCGUUAUCCGGAAUUAUUGGGCGUAAAGGGUGCGUAGGCGGUUUAUUAAGUCUGUGGUGAAAGUGCGGGGCUCAACCCCGUAUGGCCACAGAAACUGAUCGACUAGAGUACAGGAGAGGGCAGUGGAAUUCCAUGUGUAGCGGUAAAAUGCGUAGAUAUAUGGAGGAACACCGGUGGCGAAGGCGGCUGCCUGGCCUGUAACUGACGC